CCCAAUUCAAAGUCCGCAUUUAAGCAAGAACAGUCCAAAUGCCCAGGCUGUUCUUGUUCUAUCUGUUUGUCUUAGAAUAUUUUGGGUGGCUACAUUUCCCAACAGACAGACAGACAGGAGGACAGGCAGCAGGUGCAGGUUUGGAUGGGGCUCAUGGGGAAAAUGCAACCUGUCACAUGGACGUCUUUACUACAGAUGAACGCCUCCAACAGGAAGUGAUCAACAUCUGGACUCCCUGCUGGAGACGUCAAAGAUUUGCUCACGGCUCACAAGAUGCUGAAACUCUUGCUGCAG